CUUGAACCCCUAUCCUCAUCGUCGCUGCUUGAAGAUUCUGAAGAUGAGCUGGAACUUGACUCUGAUGAACUUUUGUGCUGUUAAAGAUUUAAAGGUGAGGGCAUCAAACAAAUUUUAAGUAAGCAAAGUACCUAGAACAGAGUUAUCAUAACUAAAUAUAUUUCCAUUAGGUAAAUUGCAACAAUUUCACAAAUAGGCAGCAGGUCAUAAGCUAGAGUAUACCUUUCUCCUCUUUUUACUUCUUUUCUUUGCGUCCUUAUCCUUCCUCUCUGUUUUCAAACUUCUUUUGUCAGAAGAGCCAUAUAAUAGAUGCAAUAUAUUUAUAUUUGAGGAAUGGCAAGUGAUGGAAAUACUAAGAUUCUAACAUUACAGAUAUUUAUUUGGUAGGUUGCCCAUUACCUUUCUUGGAAGAUGAUGAUUUUGAGUUUGACCUUGAGUGAUUUCUUCCGUUUGCUAGCUUUUGAGCUCUUUCAGCAUCCAG
rnacentral:lncRNA from 1 species